GUGGGCGUAGCUCAGUUGGUAGAGCACAGGAUUGUGGCUCCUGGUGUCGUGGGUUCGAUUCUCAUCGUCCACCCCA
rnacentral:tRNA from 1 species